rnacentral:rRNA from 1 species
AACGAACGCUGGCGGCAUGCCUAACACAUGCAAGUCGAACGAAGCCUUCGGGCUUAGUGGCGCACGGGUGCGUAACACGUGGGAAUCUGCCCUUCGGUUCGGAAUAACAGUUAGAAAUGACUGCUAAUACCGGAUGAUGACGAAAGUCCAAAGAUUUAUCGCCGAAGGAUGAGCCCGCGUAGGAUUAGGUAGUUGGUGGGGUAAUGGCCCACCAAGCCGACGAUCCUUAGCUGGUCUGAGAGGAUGAUCAGCCACACUGGGACUGAGACACGGCCCAGACUCCUACGAGAGGCAGCAGUGGGGAAUAUUGGACAAUGGGCGAAAGCCUGAUCCAGCAAUGCCGCGUGAGUGAUGAAGGCCUUAGGGUUGUAAAGCUCUUUUACCAGGGAUGAUAAUGACAGUACCUGGAGAAUAAGCUCCGGCUAACUCCGUG